AAAUAGAGAAGAUUAUAUGACCAAAAUCAAAUUGAUCAUCAACUUUAUUCACAUUGCACCAGAGUUUACAUAAAUUCAGACCCUCCAUGUUUUCAUGCUAGGUUUUCCCGGAGAAGCUCCUUAAGAUAUUAUUAGUAUUACACAGAUGGUUUCUGUUACAUGUAUAGAUUUUUGUCUGAUAACCUCUGAGAAGGGAUUGCCAUGAGUGGGUUUUUCUUCUUCAAGACAAUCCCAAAUUUAUCAGAAAGCUCAUGUUCUUUGUCUUCUGGCAAAGUCCAAUCAAACGAGUGCAAUAAUGAAGCCAAAAGAUACACCAACAUCUUCUCACCCAAAGGAAUUCCAGGACACUUUCUCCGACCAGAUCCAAAUGCCAGAAAGUUGGUGUUGUUUCCAGAAUAAUCGUAUUUGGUUGUUCCAUCGGUGUUCAGAAACCUAUCGGGAUCAAAUUUCGUAGGAUUUUCCCAGUGUUUUGGAUCCCUGUGUAUUGCCCAGACAUUCAAAAACACAUUGGAACCCUUUGGCACUGUGUAUCCACCAACAUUGCAAGAUUGAUUUGGACAUCGCCCUAUCAAUAGAGGAAGCGGUGGAUGUAAGCGGAAUGUUUCUUUUAUCACUGCAUCUAAGUAACAUAAUCUUGGAAGAUGAGAUUCUUCUACAAUGUUGUUUAGGCCCACGACUUGCUCUAAUUCGUCUUGUAUCUUCUUCAUUAUCUCUGGAUGUUUCAAAAGCUCUGCCAUUGUCCAUUCCGCCAUUGUUGAGGUUGUGUCUGUUCCUCCGGUUACAAUGUCCUGUUUCAACAAAACUUAGUUAUUUCUGUGUCGAAGGGAUGUAUGAAAAGUGAAAGAUGAUACCAUGAAAAGAGAUUUAAUUUGGGUAAUACUGAAAGUUGAUGUAUCGUUUUGUUGUUUAUGCUCUAGUAAAAUCUGCAAUAAAUCAUUUCUUCCCUCUUGCUCUACUGAUUCUUCAAGUUUAACGUUCAUUCUAUUCUCGAUAAUCGUCUGAAAAAUCUCAUCAACCUUCUGCAACUGUUGCUUCAUUUCUCGUUCCACACCCUGUAAAUCGAAUCUGGAAAGUACCGGAAAAAGGUCCGACACGUUCGAUGCUCCCAGAAGCUCCACAAUCUUUGAAAUAACCUCCCGGAACCCUAGAUUAGUGUUUUCUUCGUUUUCAUCCAAACUUUUCCCCCACAUCAUGCUGGUUACGACACUGAGUGAGGACGCGAACGCCAACCCGCCGACGUCCACCUCCGUCCCCAUUGAUUCGUACACCUGCUUGAUGUUUUUUCUGACUCCGGUUCGCCGAAAAGAGCGAGAAGCUUCAAGGUUCUUAUGGCUCAGGACUUCGGAGACGAACACUUUACGCAGUUUGCGCCAGUAUGAGUUGUUGUCGGACCAGAGGAUAUCUUUGCCACCGUAUGUGAUGACAAGCCCAGCCACCGGAGGGUCUCGGUUAGCAAAAGCAUCGUCCUGCACACGCACCACUUCUUUAGCCAGAUCGGAGGAGCUGACGAUGAUGUAGGUCUUACUUCCGAGCUGGAGUUUAAAGAUGGGGCCAUAACGUUGACCCAAUUUGGUGAAUUCAUGGUGCAAGUCGGGGCUGAGAAAUGGAAGGUAUCCCAGCACCGGCAAGCCACGAGGUCCCGGUGGCAACCGCAAUGUGGCCUUUCUGAAACUGUACCAUAAAAUAAGUAAUGAGAUGACUGAAAAGACGAGUAAUUGGAAAGUGAGGUCCUCUUUCUUGCUGAUAAUUAGUUCCGACCACCAUGACCACCGGCCAUCUGAGAUCAUUUUGUGAAGAUUGUUAUUAUGAAAUUCAAAGCGAGAGAUUUAGAUAUAAAUAAACAAAUAAAUAAAAGGAAGUUGUAAUUUCAAAAAGUCAUAGAGCUAGAUUGUAUGGUUGGUACUUGGUACGGUGGUACAUACAAGAAGACAGGAUAUUGUAGAAAAUACGUUAUGAAUAAUUGUUAUUUUGUAUUCUGCUUUAAAUAAAAAGUUUGAAUAAUAAUAAUAAACCAUUAUUAUAUUCUUUUGUUCAACAUAUAUGGUCCGCUUAGUAUUCAAAUUAUUAAUAUUAAUUCAAUUGAGAUAUAUGUCUAUAGAUAAUCUUAUUUUUAAUAGGUUACGUGUUUUUCUAUUAUUUUUCUUAAUUUUGUGAUUGGUGUUUGUACUUUGUAUAGAUGCAGUAACAUUUUUCUUGUGUGAUGUGUGUUUGCGGGCUCAUGUUCGAUAAAGUUUUUUUGGUAUGGAAGGAUUUCCAUGCGUGAGAGGCGGAGGUGGUGAACAUUUUCGCACAUGAAUACCCCCAGAGAUGCGUGUACGUGAUGUGGAGUGGACCGCUCUAAGCUUGAUUACGACCAAUAACAUUCUUUUAUUUCCAAACGGUCAAGAAGCUUUGCUUUUGAUCAUCUAAAAAUUAAGUGACAAAAUAUGAAAAUAUUAAACAAAAAAGAAGAAAUGAGGUAGUUGGGAAAAUCUUAAACAAAGAAGAAAGAGGCAUGCUUUUGAAUUCUUUGGCUGCUGAGGUAUGAAAACAAUAUGAAAAUUCAAGUCAAGAAUGUAUAACACAAACAAUUAAUCAAACUAUCUCUUUGAUUAAAUGAGAAAAUAACUCAAAACUCAAUUUAUGAAUACAAUCUCUUACUCUUCAUGGCUAAAGCAAGAUGUAUAUAUUCUAACUGUAACAAAGUGAAUUCCAAACCACUUUUUUUUUUAUUUAAACACAUAAAACCCAAACAUAUAGUUUGAAAACUCAUAAAUAUCUCAAUGUUAACAUCUUUCAUAACAAAAGUCAAAUCCCAGAAUCCUCAACAUAACAUGAACUGGUGUGUACAAUCAUGUCGGUGCCUUCCUGCGAUCCUCUGAGGUACCUGAAACACAUAACACGGUAAACACGAAUGCUUAGUGAGUUCCCCAAAAUACUACGCACAUACAUUUAGCCACUCAAGGCUACAGCUCUACGAGACCUUCUGGUCAUUGUGUCUCAGUGGGACCUUCCAGUCCCACAACCCUGGGACCCCUUCCGGUCCUACCCCUGAUGACCUUCCGGUCCUAACUCUGUAGACCUUCCGGUCCUACUAUGUUGACCUUCCGGUCCAAACUCUGUUGACCUUCCGGUCUAACUCUGCAAGCUCAGGACACAGCAUAGACAUAUCACAUAGAUAGAAACAUAUCUUAUAACUCUUAUAAACACAUAAGACCUUCCGGUCACACAUAAUUACCACUCUAGGUAAGGUAUAGUGAGAAGACUCACCUCACAACUAGUAGGUAAUAGACAAGCACUUGGAAUCUUGAGCUAGCAUCCGCCUAACACAUUAGACAAGCAUCUCAAUCAUUAUUCAUCUUUUACUCAUUCACACCUAAGUCCUCUUAUUCUCUUCCCAACCCUUGGGAUGGGUAAAAGACCAUUUUACCCCUCCAUGGUCCCCACAUGCUCUUAAUUGACCCACUCACGAAGUUAACAGAAGGAAAAAUGAGUCAACAACCCAAUUCGACCAGACUCGCCGAGUCCACUUGUAUCUCAGAUUUCUUCCUAGGGUUUACUCAGCUCGUCGAGUUGACCCCCAAACUCAACGAGUUACUACUGGGUCAGACCCGAUCCGACUCAUCGAGUCAUCCCAUAGACUCGGCGAGUUGUCUCAAACAGAUCUCUCAUUUGAUCGACUGAGGUCAGAUCUGUAGCUCCAAUUUAUAGAUCUAGCCUCCUAGUACCCAAAAUUCACGCAAAGGUCUGAUCUUGGUGUCCAUACAUGGUAUAUAUUUCUCUAUAUGCUAUCAAAACUCCAUUAAUGCUUCCUAGCUUCACAACUCCAUCGUUUCACAACCAUGGCUUCACACUUUCAGACUCUAUGGACCUCACAAGGUCCUAGAUCUAUAGCACAAGCUCACAAAUGGGGGUUUGAUGCACCCAAAUCCCCAUCCAAAGGUGAUACAAGCCCUAAAUCUCACCACCAUGGAAUCUAAUCAAUCAACAAAGAAUGUAAGAGCUUUAUACCUAGAUUUGAAGCUUGAGAUGAAAAGGAAACAUAUCCACAAGCUCUCCUCCUUAAUCCUUGAAGAACCUUGCUCUUCCUCUUAAGGAAAUGACUUCAAAUGAGCCUCUUUCCCUAUCUUGCUCACAAUAAAUGCUAGGGUUACUCUCAUGGGGUGAAUGAACACUGAUGGGGUGAUAUGGAGGCUAUAAGUGCCUUUAAAUAGGCUCAGGCCCGAGAAAAUUAGGUUUUCCAUCGGCAACACUGACUUGUCGAAUCGGCUCAUCGACUCGUCGAGUCUACUCAUUAAUCCACGUCACCUGUCGCAACCCUACUCGACGAGUUGAGACGCCAACUCGUCAAGUCCCUUCAGAAAUUCUUAAAUUAAAUAAUUAAAAUUAUAUGCCUGGAAAUUCGGAUGUUACAAUUCUCCCCCACUUGAAUUAGAUUUCGCCCUCGAAAUCGCUCUCUAGGAUCACACAGCUCAAAACCCAAAACUCCGGAAGUACUACCCAAGAGGACUUCAUACCACACAACUAUCUUCCUCCAAUGAUACCUGAUCCCAAGCUCCCAAAACCCAAAAAAGGACAGACCAAACUGUCGCUACGAUACCACCUCUGGCUCCGCAGAAUCUGGAAACUCUAGUAGUCUGCCUCCCUGCUAGCUGCCCUCUCAAGAUAUCACCAUGGUAUCUGCUCCACAAAUAACAAACCUCGAUAUCUCACUAUCCCUUGAUCCUUUCGUCGUGGCUGAUAAACAAGUCAACGCCCUAACAUAGGCUUCUGAUCGCUUGACCUAGAUAUAUUACUCAAUCCAAAUCAUACUCCAAAAUGAAAGGACCACAUUACACUAGGGAGCUAUCCACUAAGCUUCAAUCAGAACCUAUCCGAACAAUGAACUCUCGAUACCCUGUCCUUAAACACAAGAAAAGAUCAUGCUUACUCAACAAUAUCCUAUGACUUCUACAAUCAUGAACCUCCAUAGGUUACCCAUAACAUGUCCCAAAGUGUCUCACUGAUUUCCUUCUCGCAACAACUACCUCGGUCUACUGUGACACACGAGUCACGAAGUUCGCUUUUCCCCAAGCUAAUACUACAAUCCAAACUGAAAACAUCUCACCUUCGACCUCUGUCGUACUGAUCAUUAAAUCCAAGCGUCUCGAGGUCCUUCCAUACGAACGACCUGACCCACACAGAUCUAAGCCAUUCGAUGACGCAUGACACCUCUCUAUGAGGAACCUACCUCGGAGCUCUGAAUCUCAUCUCGCCUUCAUAAUACACCACUAGCGCCAACUCAACUCGAGAGUCUGGCCUGUCGUGAAAUUAAAAACACUCUUCCCAAUGAAGCGCCCAACUCAUAACCCAUGACUCUAUGAUAAUGUUACCCAAACCAAGGAACUCUUCUGCGUCAUGCUAUGACUGGUGAAAACUACUGCUCCCCGUAAUUCCACAUCGCUCUCCUUUUGACCAGCGAAAGCUUCAGCUCUUCGCAGUUUCACAAUGCUUACUCACUGUUUGGCGAGUACUACGAACUUUCCACAGUAUCGCCACACCAUCUAGCUGACUGGAGGAUACUAUGGCUCCCUGCAGUAUCACCACACCCUCUUGCUAACGGGUGAAUACUACGGCUCCCCGUAGUAUCACCACACCCUCUUUCUAACUGGUGAAUACUAUGGUCCCCCGUAGUAUCACCACACCCUCUUACUAACUGGUGAAUACUACGGCUCCCCGUAGUAUCACCACACCCUCUUGUACUAACUCAUGGAUGUUGCAGCUCCCUACAACCUUAUAACACUUUCUCUUACCAUCCACGGUCCCAUCCUCAAGUCGACGCCGCACACUACAUCUAUAACCCAUGUUCCAUGGCCCAACAUAGAUGGAUGCACACACACCCAUCCAAAAAUAAGCAUCACUACUCCUGACGGCAACUGACAUGACCAAACUCCUUUUCUCACUGCAAUUCACAUUCUUAAAUAAUAUCGUUUGACAUCAAUUAGCCAAAGGGCUCCCACUGGAACCAUAAAUACUUGCUACACAACUUGCCAUCUCUUAACUCAGAACUCAAAAUAAUCUGGAAAUAAGGACAUCAUACCCGGAUACCUCGGUACACCAACACAAAAUCUCACGAAGUUUUGCCCAAACCAUUGAUCUCAUACUCACGGCACCAUACUCGGAUACCACAUUGCUCUUUCAGAAUCUCUCAACCGAUCUUCCUCUCGCACCACAUGUAACCUCAGAGUAUUCCAUCUCCUAAUUUAAAACACAGAGGCAUCGUCAAUGGCUCAGAACACGUUGACGAAAACUCAAAGCUCCCCCACUACUGGUCACUACCCAUACGGAACUACUCAUAUCGACCCUGAAAUUGGUUGACAAAUCAACUGCUGCUCUUCCUGGGGUAUAUAUCACAAUCUAUACCAUCACUUGCAAACCUCAGCUAUUGCAUCCGUAAUCCAGUGACCUGAUCGCACUCGAACUUGACAUAUGCUAACUGAUGUGUGUAAAACAAACUAGUUUUAAUCCUACUUAUAAAAUUUAAAUUAAUCACACAAAGGCAGUGGACCUGUCUAUUGGUGGUAUAGUUCUAGUAAGCAGGGUAUCGAACUCAGGGAACGACAAUUUAAACUAAUUACUAAAAUUAUCUAAUAGCAACUAACAAAUAAUAAAAGAGAGGGUUUUCUCUAGUUUUACAAGACUAGAGACUUACUAACUAAUACUUAAACUAAUUAACUGAAAACUAGAUAAGCAAAGAUUCGACUAAAUUAAAUAACGAAGGAGACUUCUGUUUAGGUUCAACUCAAUUGAUCCUAUGGUUGAUUUUAUGGUAAUAGUGCAAUGGAUUAACUCUUCUAUUGGCUACCGAUUCAGGUGAUUAGGUUCACAUUCGCUACACUAAUCCUUAGAAAACAAACUAACUCAAACAGUGGCCAGUUGUCAAAAUUAAUUUAAUUCCCUAAGUUAUUUAUUCGGGUUAAUUAAGACUUGUAACGGUUAACUAAUUUGGCCCUUUAGUUAACCUCUUGUUGAUGGUCAUCACACAAGCUCAUACGUAAAUUUACCUAUUUUCUUAUUAAUUCCAGUUUCACAUUCGCUAAGCCUAGUCAUAUAAUAAAGUGUUCACAUAAAUUAUAUGAGGUAAACAAUUAAGAGAUGUUCAUGCAACUUAAUUAUCUUCCUAUUAAUAGAAAAUAGUUAUCAUUCGCACAUAAGGUUCCUUAACAAGCUUAAAUUAACAAGAUCACCAAUAUUAAACUAAUCUUGCCAUAAAUCAAACCAUAGUCUCAAUAGUGUCUCCCCUAACAGAAGUUAAAAGGUUUUAGCUCAUGAUUGAGGCAAUUGAAAGCAUAAAAACAAAAUCUAUAUGUCUAUACAUGAUGAAAAACAAUAAAUUGAAUGAAGAAUAAUGAAAAUUGCCUCUAAUCUCCUUCGGAAUCAGAUUUAGGGUUGGAUCUUCGUUCUCUAGGUCUUCUCUGACUUUAAUUUGUAGCUUUUCUCCCCAAGGGUUCUCUAGACUCUUUUGUAUCGAUCUGAGAAGCCGUAUUUAUAGAUUCGACCCGACUCACCGAGUCCAUGACCGACUCGUCGAGUCCAUCACUUAAUCCCCGUGUACGGCAAGUUAAGGAUUCCUCAGCUUCGCGAAUCUUCUUAGCGACUCGUCGAGCCGAUGCCAGCCUCGCCGAGUUCCUUCCAUUUUUUGGUCUUUUCUUCUUUUGAUCAUUCCAAAACUUCCCGAUGGUUACUCUUGCUUCUUUUUGCUUCCGAGCAUUCCUUUUUUACUGAAAACACAAUUUAAACACUUUUAAGUAUCUUUUGUCCAUAAUAUGCAAAUAAAUAGCUAAUAAAUGAUAAAAUCAAUAUUAAUGGAAGGGCUAAAUAUGCACAUAUCAAAAUACCCCACACUUGACUUUUGCUUGCCCCCAAGCAAAACUGAAAUUAAGCAUACUAAUGUUACAUAGACAAUCCCAAUCUAACCCAGCCAUUAUGUCAAGACCGCAACGCAUGCAUUUGUGUCUAAAUAAAUUUCCUAAGGACCCCCUUAACCUAAAUACUCACAAUCCUCAUUAAACUUGCCCACUUUUUCCGAACAAUGCUCAUUUUAUGCAUCACUCCGAAUCCAUCCACAGAAAACCUCCCAAUCUCAAGGUGUUUUUGGUUGAGCAACCCAAGCAUACAUAUUCUAAAAAUUACAAUUCUUCGAUACCACUAUGGAAUUUUUGGAAUUCUUCACUUUCUUGAUAAUUUGAACUUUGAUUUCUUUGAAUUUUUCAUAAUUGUGAACUUUUUGAUUUUUGGGUAUCUUCAACUUUUGAAUUCUUGGAAUCUUGAUCUUUUGAUCUUUACUUUCAUUGCUCCAAAAUUCUCAUAACUUUUCUUGUAAUUUUCUCUCUCUUUUUUUUACAUGUAACUCACUUUUCUUUUCACUCAAAACCCUACAUGCUUAAGCAGAGGCGCUCAACUUCAACCUUUAUUGAAUAAGGAUAAUAAUUUUCCUAGAUACAUUUCAAGUACACGAUGCUAAACUUAUUGCAUUCCUCAAACUAAGCGAGGUCGUGUUUUUGUCCCAUGAUUUCACUAGAAUAAAGGAGGCCACAAAUGCAUUAUAACGUAUAUAGGCUCAACUAAACAUUUGGGUCUUCAUAAAAUCAUCAAACAUAAUAUUAGCAUGAUUCCUAAUUGCUUUUACCAAAGUUUUCUAAUUUAGCCCUAGCAAUGUUAUGCAAAAUUUUCAAAAUUUUCAAAAUUUAACUAAAAUUUUAACUAAUGUAACCAACCCCCUACCCCACACUUAAUUUAUGCAAUGCCCCCAUUGCAUAUUAUGCAUGAUAAAGAACAAUAAAAUAAAGAGGGAAUUGGAAAAAACUCCCCUGGGGUAGUAGUGGCGAGGUCGAUCUUCUUCAUGUUAAAGCUCUAUCUUCAAUUGACUUUAGACAUGGGAACAACUCAUCCAUGCCUUGGGUGUCAUGUCACGUGUGGUUGAAAGCUCCAAAAACGCAGGAAAAACUCUCGGAAAUUUCCACAAAUGACUCUUUAAAAUAAGAACCAAAAUCCAUGGGAUAUAAGCAUCAAGUCAGCAGCGAAGUGGUGAAAGUCGUAUCAACUCGUCGAGUUAGUGGGCAAACUCGGCGAGUUGUAGCGGGAAAGUGCAGAAAUCGCGGUUUUACUCAUGGACUCGUCUAGUCAGUAGAGAAUGGAAAACUACGGCUCCCCGUAAUUCCACAGCGCUCUCCCUUUGACCAGCGAAAGCUACGGCUCUCCGCAGUUUCACAAUGCUUUCUCACUGUUUGGCGAGUACCACGACUUUCCACAGUAUCACCACACCAUCUAGCUGAUUGGCGGAUACUAUGGCUCCCUGCAGUAUCACCACACCCUCUUGCUAACGGGUGAAUACUACGAGCCGAUGCCAGACUCGUCGAGUUCCUUCCAUUUUUUGGUCUUUUCUUCUUUUGAUCAUUCCAAAACUUCCCGAUGGUUACUCUUGCUUCUUUUUGCUUCCGAGCAUUCCUUUUGGAUUGAAAACACAAUUCAAACACUUUUAAGUAUCUUUUGUCCAUAAUAUGCAAAUAAAUAGCUAAUAAAUGAUAAAAAUCAAUAUUAAAGAAAGGGCUAAAUAUGCACAUAUCACUAACCCCGAAAAUCACAGGCCACAAUGAAUUCUCCAAUCCACGGCCACCUGCCAUGGAUCCACUCAUCCUUUCUUAAACACAAACUCGUACAUUUUCCCGUCUAGCACCUCGCCUCAUCCUCGGGCUCAUGCGUCCGCACCGCAGAUUUCCAUAACCAUUUCUCUAACCGCACAUGAAUGGAUCACUGAUCCCCUAACUGAAAAACCAGUUCUCCCCCACUCAGGGUUUGAACAAUCACCAAUUGGCACAUCCACAAUCUACUCAGUAGACUGUCUCACUAGUUAUGUCACACUUGACUCUUAAACGUAUUACGCAAUCAUCCCAGGGUCUUCCCAAUGGAAACCAGACAAUCUUCAAAUAUCCCGUCCCUAACAAAAUCUCGGAAUCCUCCCCACAUAACUGCCUCUAGUCACCUUGAAGCCUCAGACUGACACACUGCCGAAAACCCCACUGUUCUGAAUCCAAUUUGUCUCUAAUCCAGAAAUAGUGCCUUCUUACGCACUUCGACUCUAACUCCUUGAACCGCCUCCCAAAUAAGGAAUAAGCAUAAAAGCACGGAUCUCAUUCUCAUUGUUGAUACACAAUGUAAACCACGAGGACCACUGCCCCGAUAUACUCCUUUUUAACCACUGGAAACUACUAAUAAAAGUACCUUUUCCCCAACAAGGCACCUCUUUGUUCUCAUCCGUCUUAGUCCCACUAAUGAUUCUUUCCUGGUAUAAGAAUACCUCACAACCAAUAUUUUGCCCAAAUACUCUGGUGAAAUGGUCACCAUGCUUGCUACCCUACAGAGUUUACCUUUAACUCAGAACCAGAAACUCUAUAUCCUUUCUGCUCCUCAAAGAAAAUAGCACACUGCAGACACAGGAAGUGACAUCUCCGCUAUCGAUCGACUGCGUAGCUUAAACCGUAGUCCUCCAUGAAGCACCACCUCUACUCAUCCCUGGGUCUUGCGACUCUAGUUGUCAUCUCAUUUAAAUUUCUCGGAAACCAACUUGAUUUCCCCCUCAAGGUGUGUUCCCUUGAAACUUGUUCAAGAUGGCCCUCUGGCCCCACACUCUAUCACAUCUGAUCUCAAUCUAAUCAAUCCUAACAGAAUAACCGGUAACACCAGAAGCACUAACCGCCACAAAUCAUGAUACUUAAACCACGUGAUCACCUCUCAUCUGCUACGGAUCAUGGUACUCGAACCAUGUGAUCACCUCUUAUAUGCUAUGAAUCAUGGUACUUGAACCAUGCGAUCACCUCUCAUCUGCUACGGAUCAUGGUACUCGAACCAUGUGAUCAUCUCUCAUCUGCUACGGAUCAUGGUACUCAAACCAUGUGAUCACCUCUCAUCUGCUAUGGAUCAUGGUACUCGAACCAUGUGAUCACCUCUCAUCUGCUAUAGAUCAUGGUACUCGAACCAUGCGAUAACCUCUCGACUGCUAUUUAGAACCUUUGGAAUACUCCUUGCAUUGAGUAUGGGUCCUCUGCUUUCAAUAGUACAGGCCCAUACUACCUGCCACAUCUACCCAUACUUUCUACACGGACCAUCCCAGAGUUCCCAAGUAGCUGCUCAACUUUCUCGAUCACCAAUCCCGUUACACGAGUUCCUCAGUGAAAUGAUCUACUCUGUCAGCGCACUCAUCUAAUUAAGGUCACUCCCUAGGCUCUUCCUAGGUCCUCACACUCCUCCGCCAUCAGCUGCUGAAAAACUCCAUAUGAUGCCAGCCAUCUACCUCUUGAAUAUUGUCAUAUUCUCUUGGUAGCUAACUCCCAUCAUCGAGAUCUCCACAAAGCACAAAGCAAGCAGCAUUCGGGCAUCAAAUAAUCUCCACUAGCACAUAAAAACCACUCUAGGUUACAACUCUAAUUGCUUUACUCACACUCAACAGGUGUCACCGAACUCAAGCAACUCUACCUCACGCGGGUAUCUAACUACUCUCUCAGUAGGCUCCUCCAAUGCUCAUAUAUGUAUUUCUCCUAGAUUACUCCUCUACUCAGGGUCUCUCUCUAAAAGAUUCCUGCCAGAUACUCUUACUCAGCACAUACUCAAAGCACAUCACAUAUAACAGCAAUUCCCAGGCUAAGGCAUCACAAAUCAGGCCACUCAAGUCCUAAAUUAUGAAAUACCAAACCUACUCUCUAGCAUCAAUAACAUAUCUCAUAACAACUUAUAACACAUAAAAUAAGAUAUUUUGGGAAAUCACCGUUCGGGCGUUGGCUGAUUGUACAUACUGCUCGUUUCCUCUUUCUCUUAAAAUUCUCUUACUCAUUUUUAGAAAAAUCGUUCCUUUUGAAAACUUUUCUCAAAACCUUAGUUUGAGUCCAGACAUACCCGAAGGUGUAUCCGAAUCCCUCAAACCAAGGCUCUGAUACCAACUUGUAACAACGUGAAUUUCAAACCAAUUUUUUUUAUUUAAACACAUAAAACCCAAACAUAUAGUUUGAAAAAUCAUAAAUAUCUCAAUGUUAACAUCUUUCAUAAAAAAAGUCAAAUCCUAGAAUCCUCAACAUAACAUGAACAUGUGUGUACAAUCAUGUCGGUGCCUUCCUGCGAUCCUCUGAGGUACCUGAAACAUAUAACACAUAACACCGUAAGCACGCAUUCUUAGUGAGUUCCCUAAAAUACUACGCACAUACAUUUAGCCACUCAAGGAUACAACUCUACGAGACCUUCCGGUCAAUGUGUCUCAGUGGGACCUUCCGGUCCCACAACCCUGGGAGACCUUUCAGUCCUACCCUUGAUGACCUUCCGGUCCUAACUCUGUACACCUUCCGGUCCUACUCUGUUGACCUUCCGGUCCAAACUCUAUUGACCUAACGGUCUAACUCUGCAAGCUCAGGACAUAGCAUAGACAUAUCUUAUAGAUAGAAACAUAUAUCAUAUAACUCUUAUAAACACAUAAGACCAUCCAGUCACACAUAAUUACCACUCUAGGUAAGUUAUAGUGAGAAGACUGACCUCACAGCUAGUAGGUAAUAGACAAGCACUUGGAAUCUUGAGAUAGCCUCUGCCUAACACAUUAGACAAGCAUAUCAAUCAUUAUUCAUCUUGUACUCAUUCACACCUAAGUCCUCUUAUUCUCUUCCCAACCCUCGGGAUGGGUAAAAGACCAUUUUACCCCUCCAUGGUCCCACAUGCUCCUAAUUGACCCACUCACGAAGUCAACAGAAGGCAAAAUGAGUCAACAACCCAAUUCGACCACACUCGCCGAGUCCACUUGUAUCUCAGAUUUCUUCCUAGGGUUUACUCAGCUCGUCGAGUUGACCCCCAAACUCAACGAGUUACUACUGGGUCAGACCCGAUCCGACUCGUCGAGUUAUCCCAUAGACUCGACGAGUUGUCUCAAACAUAUCUCCCAUUUGAUCGACUGAGGUCAGAUCUGUAACUCCAACUCAUAGAUCUAGCCUCCUAGUACCCAAAAGUCAUGCAAAGGUCUGAUCUUGGUGUCCAUGCAUGGUAUAUAUUUCUCUAUAUGCCAUCAAAACUCCAUUAAUGCUUCCUAGCUUCACAACUCCAUGGUUUCACAACCAUGGCUUCACACUUUCAGACUCUCUGGACCUCACACGGUCCAGAUCUAUGACACAAGUUCACAGAGGGGGUUUGAUGCACCCAAAUCCCUAUCCAAAGGUGAUAUAAGCCCUAAGUCUCACCGCCAUGGAAUCUAAUCAAUCAACAAAGAAGGUAAGAGCUUUAUAUUUAGAUUUGAAGCUUGAGAUGAAAAGGAAACAGAUCCACAAGCUCUCCUCCUUGAUCCUUGAAGAACCUUGCUCUUCUUCUUAAGGAAAUGACUUCAAAUGAGCCUCCUUCCCUCUCUUGCUCACAAUAAAUGCUAGGGUUACUCUCAUGGGGUGAAUGAACACUGAUGGGGUGAUAUGGAGGCUAUAAGUGCCUUUAAAUAGGCUCAGGCCCGAGAAAAUUAGGUUUUCCAUCGGCAACACUGACUCGUCCACUCAUUAAUCCACAUCACCAGUCGCGACCCUACUCGACGAGUUGAGACGCCAACUCAUCGAGUCCUUUCAAAAAUUCUUAAAUUAAAUAAUUUAAAUUAUAUGCCUUGAAAUUCAGAUGUUAGACUAUUCUACCGACUUGUAAUUAGAUCACAAUUAGGAAACUAGAAACCGACUUAAACAUAGUUUCCUUAAAACUAGGUUGCUAUUGCUUGGUCUCCAAGUCCUACUCGACUUAGGAUUCCAACAAUCACCCCCGAAUUUCUAAGUCCUUCUAGAGAAUUCUUCAACUCCGAUCAAGCUCUGCAUUUCCUUGAACUUGGUUCGAGCUAGUGUUUCGUAAGAAUGCCCGCCCUUUGUUCUUCAUCGGGAAUGUACUCCACCUCCGUUUGUUCGUUUUCAACACAAUAACGAAUGAAGUGAAACCUGGUGUGAAUGUGUUUACUUCUUCCAUGAAAGAAGAGAUUCUUCAUUAGUUCGAUAGCCGACUAGGUAUCAACUUUACGAAUCAGUUUCUCUUGCGCUUUGUUCGUGAUUUCUCCAAGCAAAUCUUGAAGCCAUAUUGCUUAACAUGCGGUCGCCAUGGUUGCCAUGAACUCCGCCUCAUAAGAUGAUAAAGCAAUGGUAUCUUGCUUUUGCGAACACCACAUUAUUGGAGAUGACCUGUAGUAGAAAAUGUGACCGGUUGUGCUUCUUCCAUCAUCCGGGUCAACAUUGUGACUACUAUCACUAUAACCAAUAAGUCGCCUUUGUCCCGUCCUCUCGUACUUGAUUCCGCAUCCCGUAGUUCCUCGUAAGUACCUUAGAAUAUGUUUGAUUGCACCACCAUGUGAUUCUCUUGAACUUUGCAUGUAUCGGCUGACAACUCCGACCGCAUAUGCCAUAUCGGGUCUUGUUUGCAAGAAAUAUCUAAGACAUCCUACCACCUUUUGAUAUUGUGUCGGGUUGAUUUUGGGUUCAUCUUCGGUCUUUGACAACUUAAUUCCUGGUUCCAUUGGAAUGUGGGUCGGAUUGCAAUCAUGUAAACCUGCUUCUUUUAGAAUGCGUUGAGCAUAUGCUUCUUGGUUUAUAGUAAUCCCCAAUUCUUCUUGCUUAACUUCAAUGCCAAGAUAAUAAGUCAAUCUUCCAAGAUCCGACAUCUCAAAGUUCGUGGACAUCUCUAAUUUGAACCUCUUGAUCAUGCUUAAAUUUGUACUUGUGACAAAUAAAUCAUCAACAUAAAUUGCUAACAUUAUCAAGUUAGAUCCUUCACUUUUCCGGUACACCGAUGGUUCUUUCAUGCAUUUUUGAAAUUUCAUACUCUUCAAAUCCUGCAAGCUUCGUGUUCCAUGCUCGAGGUGCUAGUCUUAGACCAUAUAGAGCUUUCGUAAGGCGAUAUACUUUAUGCUCAUUUCCUUUCUUUAUAUAGCCUUCCAGUUGUGAUACGCAAACGGUUUCCUUCAAUUCUCCAUGUAAGAAUGUUGUUUUAACAUCUAAUUGGUGAAGCUCCCAUCCAUGAGUAGCAUCUAAGGAAAUAAGAAACCAGAUGGUUUCGAUUCGAACUACCGAGGUAAAUACUUCUUGAAAAUCAAUACCGGGUUGUUGCACGUAACCUUUAACAACCAACUUUGCCUUGUAUUUAUUUAUGGUGCCAUCUACAUUUUUCUUCAAUUUAAACACCCAUUUGAUUCCAAUUGGCUUCACCCCCAUAGGCUUGUUCACGAGAGUCCAAGUAUUAUUCUUGUUUAUCGAAUUAAUUUCCGCAUCCAUGGCUUUGACCCAUUCUGGUUCUUUCUUUGCUUCUUCAACCGAUACCGGCUCGUCAUUGGUUGUUAGAAGAAGUUCUUCGAGAUUAUCAAGAUCAAGCUCAUAAUCCUGAAAUCGUCUUGGAGGUCCUCUUGUUCUUGAGGGUCUUUGAUUUGUAGCUCCUUGUUGAACAUUAUUAUUUACCGGUCUUGGUUGUUCAUUAUCUUGUACUUCCGCUCCGUCUCUAAUCUCAUGAUUUGAUUCAAUCGGUUCAACCGGAUCAUUGUUAACAUCAUUUCCAUGGUUAUUGUUCGCCUCGUCUCUCAAAUAGUCCCAUGGUAUUAUGAAUGAGCCCGGUUCUUCAUUGUUGGUUCCUUCUUCUUUAAUCCAAUCCCAUCCUUUGGUUUCAUCAAAAAUAACGUCUCGACUCACGAUUAUUUUUUGUGUUACUGGGUUAAAUAACCGAUAAGCUUUCGUACCCGAUUCAGAACCAACAUGUACUAGUGGUCUUGAUCUUGCAUCAAACUUCUUUAGAUUCACCAGUUCGACUUUUGUAUGUGCUAAACACCCAAAUAUACGAACAUUCUCUAAACUCGGUUUUCUUUUAUACAACUUUCCGUAUGGAGUUGUAUCACCACGGAAUCUUGUGUAAACUCUAUUGAUUAGAUUUGUAGAGUGAUUUACCGCUUCUCCCCAUAAGUAGUUUGGAACAUGCAUUGCCUUCAUUAUACUUCGUGUCAUGUCCAUAAGUGUUCGGUUUCUUCGUUCGACAAUAUCGUUUUGUUGUGGAGAGUAUGGGGCGAUAAGGUGGCGUUUGACUUCGUUUUGUUCACAAAAUGAAUUAAACUCAAGAGAAGUAAAUUCACCUCCUCGAUCACUUCGAAACACUUUCAAAGGCUUUCCAAUUUCAUUCUCCACCAAAGCUUUGAAUUUUUUGAAGUGUGUAAACGCCUCACUCUUUACACAAAAUGAAUUAAACUCUAGAGAAGUAAAUUCACCUCCUCGAUCACUUCUAAACACUUUCAAAGGCUUUCCAAUUUCAUUCUCCGCCUUAACACCCCUAACCCACGACACCCCUAUCUACCUACACCCACUCCCAAUCCCACCCCUCCCCCCCCACACACACCAACCCCCAUAAACACACACCAACCCUCACAGACACACACCCAUCCUCACCCACAACCCCACACAUACACCAAACCCCACAAACACACACAUACACACUAACCCCCAUAAACACACACACACAUACACCAACCCCCAUAAACACACACCAACCCUCACAAACACACACCCAUCCCCACUCCCACCCCCACACACACACACACUCACACACACACAANNNNNNNNNNNNNNNNNNNNNNNNNNNNNNNNNNNNNNNNNNNNNNNNNACAAACCCACCCACACCCCUACAAACACACACAUACACACACAAACACACCAACCCCCACAAAUACACACACACACACACACACACACCCAACACCACUACCACAAUCACCGACCUACCAUCACCAUCACCAUCACCAUCACCACCAACACCACCAUCGUCGUCGCCAUUGCCACCACUGCCACAAUUGUCGCCGCCACCACCACCGUCAUCAUCAUCGUCACCACCACUGCCCCCCANNNNNNNNNNNCUGCCGCCGCCCCCACCCCCACCCUAUCACCGCUACCGUUUUCUAAAAAUAAAAACUAAUAGAAAAAUACACAUCUAAACAUGUUUUCUAAUUUUCUAAAGCUAAAAAUGAAUAAUGAAUAAUUUUUAGCUAAACACGUUUUCAAAAUUUUUCAAUGAAAACUGAAACAAAAACUGAAAAGAGAAAACGAAAAACGGAAAAUAAAAAAUGUUUUUCCGUAACUAAAUGAAACCUUAGGGUGCGUUUAGUUGCGGAAAAAUGGGUCGUUUUCCGGAAAAAAUUUCCAAGAAAAAUGAGAAUUUUGAAAACGCGUUUAGUUCGUCUAUUUUCUAAAUUUUUCACGGAAAAUAAAAUUUUUCCGUUUUCUAAAAUUACAAAGAAGUUGAAAUUUUUUGGAAAACUAAUAAUUAUUGUUUUCUAUAUUUUUCUAAUUCCAAAAUAUUUCUAAAAUAUAAACACACUUACUCCCACCUCUACCUACCCACACCUUAACACCCCCAACCCACCACACCCCUACCUACCUACACCCACCCACUCCCAAGCCCACCCCCUACACACACACACACCCAUACCCACCCCCAUAACACACACAUCCACAAACACACCCACCCAACACCACUACCACAAGUAUCGACCUACCAUCACCAUCACCAACACUACUACCAACAUAACCAUUGCCGCCACAAUCACCACUACGACCAACACCGCCACCACCACCACUACCUCCGACGCCAUCAUCUACACCACCACUGCCCCUCAUCGCUUGACCCACCCCCACUGUAACGCCCGUAGAUCUGAGCUAGUCAAUUUAGAGAUAAUAGGGGUCAAAAACGACUUUUCGACAAAAUAUUAUUUAGAAUAAAUAAUCUUAACCAAGUUGUAGAAUACGUCUCAAUGGUUCCAUACAUAUAAAGAAUGUCGGAAUCCGAGUUAUAACGAAGAAGUUAUGGUCCGUCGAAGUUUACGGCAAAACGGACACGACACCGGGAGACAUAAAUAGUGAAUUAACGAUGGAGGACGUUUUAGCCUUAGAAAUCUAAACAAAAUUUGUAGGACACGUUAAACCGAGAAUAUACAAAAAAAGAACGCCCAAAUCUGGCUUCGUAUGAGGAAGUUAUGAAAUUUCUAAGAUUUGGCUUAGCAGUGCAUAGCCCGAAACUCGAAUUUUAGAUCGAUCGGUUUUUAGCCUACGGUACCUAAUUGAGAAUUGAAUAUCUCAUUAAUAGGAACUCAACGGUAAAAAGAGAGAGACGAAAACAGAGUCCGCAUGUAGAAGUUAUGAAUUUUACGCGGACAUUUAACAAUAUAAUCUCCUCGUACUGUUAAAUUUAAAAUCGGUCGAGAAUUAACCAACAGAGUCAAAAUGAAAGUUGUGGAUCUUAUUUUUACCUACGCGUGGAUAUAAAGAACGUAAAAAACGGAGGUCGUAUGUGAAAGUUACGGAUUUUAGAAGUCGGAAGUGUGCUGUAAGAAAAUGAGUGAUGUGGCACAAUCUUGGCCAUUGCUUUCUCCCCAAGUUUUGCCAAUAGAUAGUGACAUGUGGCACCAAGUUCAGCCAUUUUUCACCCUAUAAAUAGAACCUCUCCCACCCUCAUUUUCUUCACACCUUUCCCAUUCUUUCUUCUCUUUACUCUCUCUCUCUCUCUCUCUCUCUCUCUAUAUAUNGAACCUCUCUCUAGCCCCGAAACCCCCCGAAAAGCCUAGGGAACCUCCCUAGCACGAGGCGGAAGCCCCGGAGUGCUCGAAGGCUCCGAGAAGAAGAGAUUUUUGGCUCGGGAACGCUGCUCCAAGCAAAGCUCGGUUUUCUAUAAAACCUGCUGUAAGUGAGUUACGCCUAUGCCAUUUUUAAUAUAGCUUUUAUUUAAUUAUAGUAUCGUUAUUAGGAACUUAUAAUAAGUACUUGAGCUAUUAUUAUGAGUUAUAUAAGUAUUGUUUAACGUUUAUAUAAUAGUAAUAAUAGCUAGACUAUUAAUUAAUCUCGGCGAAUAAUAGACUAAACUCUAGUGAUAAUAAUACUAGGUUUCGUUAAAGGAAAUUAUUUUUUAAGAAGCGAAGCACUGUCUGAGUUCGGAAUCACCACCUUACCAAGUGAGUGCAUGGUCCCUUUCAUCUUACACAUAGAUAUGAAGUAUUUAAUAUAAAUUACGUGCUAUAUGUGCAUAUUUUCUGAAUACUUGCUGUCUAUGUUGGGUGAAAUAUUUUUAUACACGUUUUAAAUGAUUUAAAUUGUAUAUGUAUUUUAUAUCUACAAAACGUGUUGGGUAAAACAUGGGUAGAUUUAAUAGUCGCUGUGUGACCAAAUAAAAUAAUGAGAGGCCUCGAUAUAUAUGUUAUUGAUGAUCCAGUCAUCUAGCGGAGUAUAGAUGACGACCACAGACUAUUCUAGACAGUCCAUUGGAACGCUAGCAGACUCGCAACCUGUAGGUGUUUAUUUAAACUGUGUGCUCACCAGCAGUACUCCAUCCCCCACAUGAUUGCCUUAUUUGACAUGAAUUGCUGAGGAACCCCCGAAGCAUGUGUUGUCACCUUGAUGAAAGUCCUUAGACUAGGUCCUUAGUGUUAGAUAUUUUAGGGACGUAAAGUGAGGAUAACGGGAACGGAUAAUCGGGUUUGUUUGGUUUGAUAAAGUUAAUAAAGUUAUUUAUUAUGGGUUGAAAAACCUAUGUACUCACCAGGUUUCCCAACUUGACCCACUCAGUUUAUUUAUAUCACAGGUGUUGAUAUGAAGUCACAUUACAUUGAGAGAUUAAGGAGAUAUAAAUCACUAGUGAUAAUGAAUGUAAGUUCUAUUUAUGCUUAUGUUUAUGUAUUGACGAUGACAUCCCAAAUAUUUUAAAAUGAAUAAAAAUACUUUUCUUCGGAAAUGCUUUGAUAACAUAUUUAUCAUGUUUUACUGGGAACAAAUUCUGCAACAUUUUUAUUAAAAAAAGGUACUCAGAUUUUUUAUAAAGCAUAAAUAAAAUCGGUAUUUUCUGGCCGUGAAAAUGGGGAUGUCAUAGUUGGUAUCAGAGCAUUAGUUUAAGCGAACUAGGCAUUUGUAGGAUUUCUAGACUUAAACUUAGAAUGCUAAGCGAUGAUUGAGAGAUGAGUGUCUAGUAUAUUUUAGACACAAGCACUAGUUUAUUUUAGGAAAGAUACCUAAAUUGAUUUUAUGUGCUAUAUGCUAUUAUUUGUUCGGAUCUAUGGUUUGUUGCCGAUCAGAUCUAGAAACCAUAUGUGUUUAGGAUUCUAAAGGUGGGACUACAUUAUUAGAACUAGCAUAUAAACAUUUCGGAGGGAUAAGGAUGAUUUAAACGUCUAUCCUAAGUACAGAUCUAAAUUCACCCUAUUCGGUGUAAAGAUCAAAAUGGCGAGAACCCGCAGUGGAGUCGGGAAUGCGAAUGAAAACAGACUCCAACCUCCAGUAAUUGAGCAAAUACCAGUUGUUUCAGCCGCUCAUGAGCCAAUGACGAUGGCCGGAGUGUAGGUGAUGAUCCAGAUGAUGUUGGAUCACCAAAUGGAGGAAACCAUGUGUUUACUCCAACAGAAUCGCAAGGAAGCUACCAUACCAAUCGUAGAACCCGAGCUGAAUGAUGGACAGUCAGAAGGAGGUAACUACAGUGGGACCGUUGGUCAAGCUGAUCCGCCAGUAAUAAGGAGGAACAAUCAAGAUGACGGGGUCAAGAAGAAUAGAUGCAAGUACAAGGAUUUUCUGACUUGCAAGCCAUCGACUUUCACCGGAAAGGAAGAUCGGAUCGGAGUCAUAGAUUGGAUCUCGGAGAUGGAGUUAGCUUUCAUGACGUGUGGUUGCAGAGGCAAAUUGCAGACUACCUUUGCAGUACGUCAGUUCAGAGGAGGUGUUGUGCGCUGGUGGAAUACCUUGGGGAAGACUCUAAGCCCCAAUGAGCCCCUGCAACUGACAUGGGCAGAGUUUUUGGUGCAUUUAAAGUGCAAGUACUACUCAUUAGAAAUAUCUAAUUGUUUCUUAAAAGAGUUAAAAUUGAAUUAACAAUUUUGAUUGGCUCAAAGAUUAACAUUUCACAUUGUUUAUUAGAUGUCUCAGAAUCGAGACUUACAUUAGUUUUUUUUUUUCUUCAUUCUAAAAUACAUAUAUACAUUAAAUACAACAAAAACCAAUAAUUAAUAUAUAUAUAUNNNNNNNNNNNNNNNNNNNNNNNNNNNNNNNNNNNNNNNNNNNNNAAGGAGAAGGCGCAAUUUCGAUUCUUGUCUUCAUUUUUUCCAUUUUCAUUUUAAGUUAUUAUCUUUCAAAAAACAUAAUCAUAAUUGGCCAGUGGCUAAAAUAAAAGAUUUCUAAAAUAUAAUGGUAAAUGGGAAACAAAAAAAUAUUGGGGCAUAAAUGAGGUUAUAUCAAACCAAGAAAAGUAUUUUAUGUAAGUCAAACCGACACAUCAUCAUGACCUCUUGGUGACCGACCAAUGACCCAAAUUUUUUUUUCCAAAAUAUAAUGACAAAUAAAGAAUAAAAAAAUGACUCAAAGAGAAUAAUAUUGUAUAUAUAAGGCUAUCCAUAAUACUUCUUACGGACCACGAACCAUCUCAACUCCACCUAGCCAUCACAAACCACAAACCAACUCUGGUGUAGAGAGAGAGAGAGAGAGAGAGAGAGAGAGAGAGAGAAAAAAAAAGAAGAAGAAGAAGAAGAAGAAGAAGAAGAAGAAGGCUGACUCAGACCCGUUCUCUCAUUGGGCGUUGUCGACCAUGAAACGCAUCACAAACCACCACAACCACGAGCCACCACCGACCAUUGGGAUGGUGUUCGUGAUUGUGGUUCGUGGCCACGUCAACAACAAAUACCUUCCUUGAAGGUAUUGGAUUGUCUAAAGACUUCUAUGGCGUUAACCGACGACAAAUUAGGUGAGAAAAAAUUUGGUGGUUGUGUUCAAAAGUCCAAGAGAUAACGCCGUAUAUAGUUUUACAUGACUUUUUUUUCCUUAUAAUUUAAUAUUGGUCUUCUAUUUUAAGUUUUAUAGUGAUCACUACUAUUAUAAAAGUAUAAAACUGUGAACUUAAUUAAAUAAUAGAUCUUCUCCAUAUGCUAGGAUUUUUGUUGCUUGACCUAAAAUUUAUAUGGUAACAAAUAUCUUUUCUUUUCAUUUAACAAAAUUACAAAACCAUUAAGUAGACGCAUAAUUACUUCCCUUUAAUAUAAGUCAAAGUAAGGUAUCAAAAUAGAUAACAUUAUAUGACCAAAAUCAAAUUGAUCAACAACUUUAUUCACAUCGCACCAGAGUUUACAUAAAUUCAGACCCUCCAUGUUUUCAUGCUAGGUUUUCCCGGAGAAGCUCCUUAAGAUAUUAUUAGUAUUACACAGAUGGUUUCUAUUACAUGUAUAGAUUUUUGUCUGAUAACCUCUGAGAAGGGAUUGCCAUGAGUGGGUUUUUCUUCUUCAAGACAAUCCCAAAUUUAUCAGAAAGCUCAUGUUCUUUGUCUUUUGGCAAAGUCCAAU
rnacentral:lncRNA from 1 species